GCUCCUGUAGUUGAAGUAUCAAUUCAACGGUGGUUUUUCAAGUCACAGGCCUUGGAGAAAAGCCAAGCGGGAGUU
rnacentral:tRNA from 1 species